AGGAGUGGUAUGGUGUUCUUAUGUAUACUGCUCCUACUCAUUCUCCCCCUCAGGUGUUUUGCUGAAGCACCACACAACCGUUUGGGAAAAAUAGUGGUGCUGACCCUUUUGCAAAGCAAUAUCCUGCUGUCAAGGUGGGAGUGCUGAUGUAGAGAAGUAAAUAUACCUUGGAAUCCUUAAAACUCCAGCUCCUGAAAAACAGCAAAGUAAAAUGUUGGUCAAGAGGAAGCAGAAAUUGGAUCUUCCCCAGAAACUUCAACUUUUGGCCACUCAUGAUUCAGGAGGACCGUCAGAUCACUCAGAGGGAUGCAUCUUAUACAUUGAUUUAUAUUAUGCAUGGAACAUAUGGUUAUGAACAAGGAAAUCAGCUGUUUGAUCAACUGUAUAGGUGGGAGAGAUGUUGGACAAGCU